UAAGUAGAGUUUGAUCAUGGCUCAGGACGAACGCUGGCGGCGUGCUUAACACAUGCAAGUCGAACGAUGAAGCCGCUUCGGUGGUGGAUUAGUGGCGAACGGGUGAGUAACACGUGGGUAAUCUGCCCUGCACUCUGGGAUAAGCCUUGGAAACGAGGUCUAAUACCGGAUAUGACACGUCACCGCAUGGUGUGCGUGUGGAAAGUUCCGGCGGUGCAGGAUGAGCCCGCGGCCUAUCAGCUUGUUGGUGGGGUAGUGGCCUACCAAGGCGACGACGGGUAGCCGGCCUGAGAGGGUGACCGGCCACACUGGGACUGAGACACGGCCCAGACUCCUACGGGAGGCAGCAGUGGGGAAUCUUGCGCAAUGGGCGAAAGCCUGACGCAGCAACGCCGCGUGGGGGAUGACGGCCUUCGGGUUGUAAACCUCUUUCGACAGGGACGAAGGGCAACUGACGGUACCUGUAGAAGAAGCACCGGCUAACUACGUGCCAGCAGCCGCGGUAAUACGUAGGGUGCGAGCGUUGUCCGGAUUUAUUGGGCGUAAAGAGCUCGUAGGCGGUUUGUCGCGUCGGCCGUGAAAACCUGCAGCUUAACUGUGGGCGUGCGGUCGAUACGGGCAGACUUGAGUUCGGCAGGGGAGACUGGAAUUCCUGGUGUAGCGGUGAAAUGCGCAGAUAUCAGGAGGAACACCGGUGCGAAGGCGGGUCUCUGGCCGAUCCUGACGCUGAGGACGAAGCAUGGGGAGCGAAAGGAUAAAUACCUGGUAGUCAUGCCGUAACGUUGGGCGCUAGGGGUGGGGAUGGGUCCCCGUUCCGUGCCGUAACUAACCAUUAGC
rnacentral:rRNA from 1 species